rnacentral:ncRNA from 2 species
CGGCGUGCCAGGGGGAGCUUUUGGCUGAGAGUGGAUUCGUUCCAGACCCUUAGAACCUGUUGGUUAAUUCCAGCGCAGGGAUGGUUAUUUGAGGUGUG